rnacentral:tRNA from 1 species
AUGCAUGUGCUCAGAGUUGUUAUCGAACAUGACUAGAAAUCAUGUGGGCUUUGCCAACGCAGGUUCAAAUCAUGUUGUCCAUG